rnacentral:tRNA from 1 species
GGGGAAGUGGUAGUGUGGUAUUACACUUACGUAGAAGCGGUGAGAUGAAAGCUAGAUAGACUCACAACGUAUAGCAAAUAAAGGUUCGAAUCCUUUCUUCUCCA